AACGGUCUAUACCUGCGGUACCUGCGGAGGGAUCAUUACCGAGUUUACAACUCCCAAACCCAAUGUGAACGUUACCAAACUGUUGCCUCGGCGGGAUCUCUGCCCCGGGUGCGUCGCAGCCCCGGACCAAGGCGCCCGCCGGAGGACCAACCAAAACUCUUUUGUAUACCCCCUCGCGGGUUUUUUUAUAUCUGAGCCAUCUCGGCGCCUCUCGUAGGCGUUUCGAAAAUGAAUCAAAAC
rnacentral:misc_RNA from 1 species